rnacentral:rRNA from 1 species
AUUGAACGCUGGCGGCAGGCCUAACACAUGCAAGUCGAACGAGUGGCGGACGGGUGAGUAAUGUCUGGGAAACUGCCCGAUGGAGGGGGAUAACUACUGAAAACGGUAGCUAAUACCGCAUACCAUCGGAUGAGCCCAGAUGGGAUUAGCUAGUAGGUGGGGUAACGGCUCACCUAGGCGAAGAUCCCUAGCUGGUCUGAGAGGAUGACCAGCCACACUGGAACGGAGACACGGUCCAGACUCCUACGGGAGGCAGCAGUGGGGAAUAUUGCACAAUGGGCGCAAGUCUGAUGCAGCCAUGCCGCGUGUAGGAAGAAGGCCUUCGGGUUGUAAAGUACUUUCAGCGGGGAGGCGUUACUCGCAGAAGAAGCACCGGCUAACGCCGUGCCAGCAGCCGCGGUAAUUC